rnacentral:rRNA from 1 species
GCCGUAAACGAUGAGUGCUAAGUGUUAGAGGGGUUUCCGCCCUUUAGUGCUGCAGCUAACGCAUUAAGCACUCCGCCUGGGGAGUACGGUCGCAAGACUGAAACUCAAAGGAAUUGACGGGGGCCCGCACAAGCGGUGGAGCAUGUGGUUUAAUUCGAAGCAACGCGAAGAACCUUACCAGGUCUUGACAUCCUCUGCCACUCCUAGAGAUAGGACGUUCCCCUUCGGGGGACAGAGUGACAGGUGGUGCAUGGUUGUCGUCAGCUCGUGUCGUGAGAUGUUGGGUUAAGUCCCGCAACGAGCGCAACCCUUGUUCUUAGUUGCCAGCAUUCAGUUGGGCACUCUAAGGAGACUG